CUUCCAUAGGUCUUUUAUUUGGGGUUUUGUUAUAUUCAUCUGAUUUCUUUUUUAUAGGGUUUUACUGGCACCAACCAUGCCAUGGACUCGAAUUAUGCAUGCUUACGAUUUGUUUAUCUUAGGUGCCAAUUGGUCGUUUGAAAUUAGAAACCGUGUUCUGAAAAAUGAUUAAUUUACUAGAUCUUUUUCGUUUGGUUAGAAUCAAUAUUAUUUUUUCAACUCUACAAACAUCUUCAAAAUCCCACAUAUUUGUUGAUUUCAAUUUCAUACAUAAGAUGAGCGAAAAUUGAAUCAUUGCUUUCUUUAUCUGGUUUUUCUUUGACUUUAAGUUCCUGCAAUUGCUUGAAUGCCUUUAUAAGGAUCAAUGAGCAAAUGCAAUUUCAGAAAAAAUUGAAGAUCUUAAGGCCGAUUCCAUAUAAAAGUAGGAAGGACUGUGCAACUAGAGUUAUUUAAUUGUAGGGAUUUUUACAUGCAUAACACCUAAAACUAUUGAAAAUACAUAUUCAACACCCAAAGUUAUGUAUUACCUAAAAUCUAACUUUUCAUCUAUUCUAACACCCCGUUAAAACCCUCAUCAAAAAUCUCGUUUUUUUUUCUGCAAGGUUUGUGAGCGGAGCCUUUGCUUCUUCUCUGCUCUCUCGGCUACAACAAUAUCUCAUAUGCAAGAGUCAGGAAAUAGUGGAAGAAGAACAAAACUCCGAUUCACGAAGCUUCCACCUCGUUCUUCCAAAAUUCACCUUCAAUUAUGGGAGAAAGUAGGGAUGGUGUGAACUAUCUGCUUGCCCAGACAAUUCAACUUCAAAAAUCCCAAAGGGCAGCGGUAGAAUGCCCAACCCUAUUUUUUUUCUCCUUUAUCUGGGAGAGACUCCUCACCAAUGGCUUCAACUAUGGGGUUUAUCUCAAAUUCACUUGCACCAUAUUCAAAAUUUAUUUCUCACAUAUGUGACCCUUCUUUUCAAGCUUCCUAAGUCUCCCAAGCCUCAUGACAAUUAGACUUGCUAUCUCUAGUUCAGACUUAGUUCUGGGCCAUCUGCCUUGUCUGAUCUUCUUGAUGCCCAAGCUCUAAACGACAAUGGUCAUGUUGCCGAGCAAGUUGAUGCAUGUGGUCAGAAAUGAAGAAUGUCUGGGGAGAGUGCUCACCACAUGCAACAUCUCACUGGAGGCCAGCCGUCUGCUCUCCCCUUUUUGCCGGCAAUGGGGUUCCUCACGCGAACGAACGGAAGACGACGGGAGGAUAGGGAUUUCUGAUGGAGCUUAAACAGAGUGGUAGAAAAGAAGAAAAUAAUUAUUUUAGGUGGAAUAUUAGUAAAUACAGAACUUUGGGUGUUGAAUAUGUAUUUUUAAUAGUUUAAAGUGUUAUGUAUGUAAAAAUCCCUUAAUUGUAUUAUAGAAAAUGGGAAAUUAUCAUUCUUCAAGGAGAUCGUUAUUAAUAAUGUAGUGGUAAACUUGAAGAAUGCAUGAUGUGAAAUAGACGAACCAUUACCGAAGCUAUGAGAUUGAGUUGAUUUGAUGGCAUUAGGGUGAAGGAGUGAUGUAAGGGACAGGUACCUAAUAUGUCGUCACUUGCCUUAUUUGUAUUUAUUUGGACAUGUUAGCAUCUAUCACUAUAAGUGCAAUGAAUAUGUAAUCAAGUGUUGCAUUACUAAAGUAUUUUUUUAUAAAAAGAAUUUUCUUUUAUGAAACA